GUGGGGAAUAUUGGACAAUGGGGGCAACCCUGAUCCAGCCAUGCCGCGUGUGUGAAGAAGGCCUUCGGGUUGUAAAGCACUUUCAGUGGGGAGGAACGAUCCAAGGCUAAUAUCCUUGGGAAUUGACGCUACCCACAGAAGAAGCACCGGCUAAUUCCGUGCCAGCAGCCGCGGUAAUACGGAAGGUGCGAGCGUUAAUCGGAAUUACUGGGCGUAAAGCGCGCGUAGGUGGCUUGAUAAGUCGGGUGUGAAAGCCCCGGGCUCAACCUGGGAACUGCACUCGAUACUGUCGAGCUAGAGUACGAGAGAGGGGGGUGGAAUUCCAGGUGUAGCGGUGAAAUGCGUAGAGAUCUGGAGGAACAUCAGUGGCGAAGGCGGCCCCCUGGCUCGAUACUGACGCUGAGGUGCGAAAGCGUGGGGAGCAAACAGGAUUAGAUACCCGUGUAGUCC
rnacentral:rRNA from 1 species